AUGGACCGAGGCACAGUAGGCCGCGCGGACGAACGACGGCGCGCGGCGGGCCUCUCCACCUGCUGCCCGGACGCGGCCCGGGCCCCGUCCCCGUCCCGCGGAGGUGUUCGCGCCAGGCUCGCUCCGGCGCCUCAGGUGGACUGGGUUCCCGCCCGAACGCCGCCCGGCCGCCCGCGUGCAGCCCCGAGACCUGAGCCCCCGCCUCUGGCUGCCAGCCCGCGCUCCGCGUUCACCGCGCUCGGCCGGGGCCCGCCUCUCGGCAGUUUUCGCUUUCGCUUUCCUGCCGCUGUUGUUGAGGAAAAUGAAAGUGACCGUGGCCGUGGCCCGGGCCGGCGCAGCUGCCGUCGGGGCGAGGGACGCACAAAACGGCGGCGGUCGGCGAGGAGCCUGGGAGCUGGAGCCCCUACCCGCGCCAGACGAGAUGGCAGCACGCCCUGGACUUGUCUGCACCGCAAGCGGCCCUGAGGAGGGACAGCAGGGAGACAAGAAAAUGGACUCCCCUCUGCAACCUGCAAUGUACCAGGGUUUGCAGCCUAUUGGAGGAAAACAACAUCAAG
rnacentral:lncRNA from 1 species